UCACACUCCAUUACAGGUCAGCGUGGAGUGUACAGUGCGUCCAGUGGUCUGAGGGUGGCCUAUCUCAGUGGGAGCUACCAGGGGAGGACCUAUCAGCAUCAAGACAAGGGAGAUAAUCUAUUGGUCAGUUCUCUUCCCAAUCACCUGGAGGUUGUUGAACUAGUUUUUGUUUCUCCCUCUAGCGACCAUAUUUCACUGACUCUGAUGUGUCCUGGCUGGAGGGUCAGUGCAGUGGAGAGGGCUACCGUGGAGUGGACAUUCUCCUCACCUCUGAUUGGCCCGGGGCAGUGGACAAGUUCACAGUGGCUCCUGACGGACUGGACCUGAGUGCAGUGAGGGCAAAGCCUCUGAGUAAACUAGCCAUGUGUCUCAAGCCACGCUACCAUUUUGCAGCUCUACACCAAACCUUCUAUGAGAAAAUAUCGUACAGGAAUCACAAAAUCCUCCAAGGCAAGCCACAUCAUGUGACACGAUUCUUAGCUUUGGCUCAAGUGGGAAAUCCAGACAAGAAGAAAAGAGUGAGUUGAAAUCAUUCUAGUCCCAUUAGUAUUACAUGUUAUUAAUGAUGACAUCAUCUUCAUACCUGCAGUACCUGUAUGCAUUCUCUGUCACACCCAUGAGCUCCAUGGACGAGAAAGAGCUGACUCAGCAACCACCCACUGCCACCAACUGUCCCUACACUGAACUAGUCAAA